rnacentral:rRNA from 1 species
AUUGAACGCUGGCGGCAUGCCUUACACAUGCAAGUCGAACGGCAGCACGGGAGCAAUCCUGGUGGCGAGUGGCGAACGGGUGAGUAACAUAUCGGAACGUGCCCAGUAGUGGGGGAUAACCCGGCGAAAGCCGGACUAAUACCGCAUACGACCUACGGGUGAAAGCAGGGGAUCGCAAGACCUUGCGCUAUCGGAGCGGCCGAUAUCAGAUUAGCUUGUUGGUGGGGUAAAAGCCUACCAAGGCGACGAUCUGUAGCUGGUCUGAGAGGACGACCAGCCACACUGGGACUGAGACACGGCCCAGACUCCUACGGGAGGCAGCAGUGGGGAAUUUUGGACAAUGGGCGCAAGCCUGAUCCAGCCAUGCCGCGUGCGGGAAGAAGG